GGUUGUGGCUCAAUGGCAGAGCACUUUCUUAGCAUGUGUGAGGCACUGGGUUCGAAUCUCAGCACCA
rnacentral:tRNA from 1 species